UGGGGAAUAUUGCACAAUGGGCGCAAGCCUGAUGCAGCCAUGCCGCGUGUGUGAAGAAGGCCUUCGGGUUGUAAAGCACUUUCAGCGAGGAGGAAGGUGGUGAGCUUAAUACGCUCAUCAAUUGACGUUACUCGCAGAAGAAGCACCGGCUAACUCCGUGCCAGCAGCCGCGGUAAUACGGAGGGUGCAAGCGUUAAUCGGAAUUACUGGGCGUAAAGCGCACGCAGGCGGUUUGUUAAGUCAGAUGUGAAAUCCCCGGGCUCAACCUGGGAACUGCAUUUGAAACUGGCAAGCUAGAGUCUCGUAGAGGGGGGUAGAAUUCCAGGUGUAGCGGUGAAAUGCGUAGAGAUCUGGAGGAAUACCGGUGGCGAAGGCGGCCCCCUGGACGAAGACUGACGCUCAGGUGCGAAAGCGUGGGGCAGCAAACAGGAUUAGAUACCCUGGUAGUCCACGCUGUAAACGAUGUCGAUUUUGGAGGUUGUGCCCUGAGGCGUGGCUUCCGGAGCUAACGCGUUAAAUCGACCGCCUGGGGAGUACGGCCGCAAGGUUAAAACUCAAAGGAAUUGACGGGGUCAUAGCUGUUUCCU
rnacentral:rRNA from 1 species